GAUGAACGCUGGCGGCGUGCCUAACACAUGCAAGUCGAGCGAUCUUCUUCGGAAGAGAGCGGCGGACGGGUGAGUAACGCGUGGGUAACCUGCCCUAUACACAUGGAUAACAUACCGAAAGGUAUGCUAAUACAGGAUAACAUGUUUUGAUCGCAUGGUCGAAAUAUCAAAGCUCCGGCGGUAUAGGAUGGACCCGCGUCUGAUUAGCUAGUUGGUAAGGUAAUGGCUUACCAAGGCGACGAUCAGUAGCCGACCUGAGAGGGUGAUCGGCCACAUUGGAACUGAGACACGGUCCAAACUCCUACGGGAGGCAGCAGUGGGGAAUAUUGCACAAUGGGCGAAAGCCUGAUGCAGCAACGCCGCGUGAGCGAUGAAGGCCUUCGGGUCGUAAAGCUCUGUCCUCAAGGAAGAUAAUGACGGUACUUGAGGAGGAAGCCCCGGCUAACUACGUG
rnacentral:rRNA from 1 species